rnacentral:tRNA from 1 species
GAGGCUGUGGCUCAGUGGCAGAGCGCUCACCUAGCAUGUGUGAAGCCCUGGGUUCAAUCCUCAGCACCACA